rnacentral:rRNA from 1 species
UACGAAGGGGGCUAGCGUUGCUCGGAAUCACUGGGCGUAAAGGGUGCGUAGGCGGGUCUUUAAGUCAGGGGUGAAAUCCUGGAGCUCAACUCCAGAACUGCCUUUGAUACUGAGGAUCUUGAGUACGGGAGAGGUGAGUGGAACUGCGAGUGUAGAGGUGAAAUUCGUAGAUAUUCGCAAGAACACCAGUGGCGAAGGCGGCUCACUGGCCCGUUACUGACGCUGAGGCACGAAAGCGUGAGGAGCAAACAGG